CUUGAGGCGUGGCUUCCGGAGCUAACGCGUUAAGUCGACCGCCUGGGGAGUACGGCCGCAAGGUUAAAACUCAAAUGAAUUGACGGGGGCCCGCACAAGCGGUGGAACAUGUGGUUUAAUUCGAUGCAACGCGAAAAACCUUACCUACUCUUGACAUCCACAGAACUUAUCAGAAAUGCUUUGGUGCCUUCGGGAACUCUGAGACAGGUGCUGCAUGGCUGUCGUCCGCUCGUGUUGUGAAAUGUUGGGUUAAGUCCCGCAACGAGCGCAACCCUUAUCCUUUGUUGCCAGCGGUCAGGCCGGGAACUCUCAGGAGACUGCCAGUGAUAAACUGGAGGAAGGUGGGGAUGACAUCAAGUCAUCAUGGGCCUUACAAGUAGGGCUACACACGUGCUACAAUGGCGCAUACAAAGAGAAGCGACCUCCCGAGAGCAAGCGGACCUCAUAAAGUGCGUCUUACUCCGGAUUG
rnacentral:rRNA from 1 species